GUUCUUUGACUGCAAAUGAUGAACAAGAGCCAAUGAGAGCCAUGAGGCUCCAUAGCCACAGCGCCUGUAGCUGCCUGCAUUUAAUCUGACCUUUUCAGCACAGCAUGGAGAAUCACAAGAGUAAAUGAAGGAGCAAAUUAAGCUGCAUGGCUUUAGUAAAAAUAAUGAUCAGAUUUAAUCAGUAGUCAGGAGACAAAGGCAUUGCAGCUGAAUGUGGUGAGAAUUCUCUUUUUGAAAGGAAGAGGAGGGAGUAUUUUUUAAGGACUCCAUUGCCUUUUAGUUAAGAGGGAAGGAAAGGACAUCUCACCUGAGUGGAGUCGAGAGGAGAAAUGGAAGUGUUUGGAUCAGGAAAGGAUGGAAAAUGUAUCCACAGAAUAUGAGGAAUUGAUGAGCUAGCUGAGGAGCAAGAGGACUGAGCUACAGGGAUGGGAGAUACCCUUUAGAAUGACGCUUCAUG